UGUCUGAAGGUCCUCCAGAAAAACCUCUAUCAGUGUGUACUGAUGGCUCUAUAGACGCACGAGUCGUGGUGUCUGUAUCAGUGGGAGACACCUCAUCAACUCGCUCAGCAACAACCUUAUGCUCAGCCUCCAGCACCACAAACUCCACAAUGUGCUCCUCAGCUACCGACUCCACAAUAAGAACAAGAGUUUGUACUUCCUCAGUGGGAGUCUGUAGCUCCUCAGUGGGAGUUUGUAACUCCUCAGUAGGAGCUUGUACCUUCUCCGUAAGAACAUGUACCUCAUCAGCAGUGGAUACUCUAAGACCCCGACAGUAG